rnacentral:rRNA from 1 species
GACGAACGCUGGCGGCGUGCCUAACACAUGCAAGUCGAACGAAGCAUUUAAGUGAAUCCCUUCGGGGUGAAGCUUUUAUGACUUAGUGGCGGACGGGUGAGUAACGCGUGAGUAACCUGCCUUUCAGAGGGGGAUAACAGUUGGAAACGACUGCUAAUACCGCAUAACGUGACGAGAUCGCAUGGUCUUGUUACCAAAGCUGAGGCGCUGAAAGAUGGACUCGCGUCUGAUUAGAUAGUUGGUGAGGUAACGGCUCACCAAGUCGACGAUCAGUAGCCGGACUGAGAGGUUGGACGGCCACAUUGGGACUGAGACACGGCCCAGACUCCUACGGGAGGCAGCAGUGGGGAAUAUUGCACAAUGGGCGCAAGCCUGAUGCAGCGAUGCCGCGUGAGGGAAGAAGGUUUUAGGAUUGUAAACCUCUGUCUUCAGUGACGAAUCAAUGACGGUAACUGAGGAGGAAGCCACGGCUAACUACGUGCCAGC